UACGGAAGGCAGCAGUAGGGAAUAUUGGGCAAUGGGCGAGAGCCUGACCCAGCCAUGCCGCGUGCAGGAAGAAGGCUUUCUGAGUCGUAAACUGCUUUUGAUAGGGAAGAAUAACCAGUACGUGUACUGGGAUGACGGUACCUACAGAAUAAGCACCGGCUAACUCCGUGCCAGCAGCCGCGGUAAUACGGAGGGUGCGAGCGUUGUCCGGAUUUAUUGGGUUUAAAGGGUGCGUAGGCGGCCCGUUAAGUCCGGGGUGAAAGCCCGCUGCUCAACAGCGGAACUGCCCUGGAUACUGGCGGGCUUGAGUACAGACGAGGUUGGCGGAAUGGACCGAGUAGCGGUGAAAUGCAUAGAUACGGUCCAGACCCGAUUGCGAAGGCAGCUGACUAGGCUGUUACUGACGCUGAGGCACGACAGCGUGGGGAGCGAACAGGGAUUAGAUACC
rnacentral:rRNA from 1 species